ensembl:lncRNA
AGUGACUUCCCUUCUCUGAACCUCAGUUUCCUAGUCUGUAAAUCGAGGCCACUCAGGACCUAGAGAGUUUAGAAGGCUUGGUUGAACGGAAAGUUUCCAAAAUGGGGCUCUGUGCCAACCAGAGGAUGCAGAAGUGACCAAAACAAACCAAAAUUACUGCCAGUAAGAGAAGAUAGAUGACUUAAAAAAAAAAGUGCGGCCCUGAACAGGUCUAAGCAAUAAUGCUCUUAAGGGCGCAAACACUGUUAUCAGAUCUUUUGGCUGAACCAAGAGAUGGACCCCGUUUUCAGGGAACAUGGGCUCAGUGCUGGCUGGUCCCUGUGAAAUUCUGAGUCUGAUGGCUUCGCUCAGGUUCAGGUGAAUCUCAUGUCAAUACCACCAGGUGGAGGUCUGAACAAAGAAACUAAUUGAGAACUAGAUAUGGACCGCUGCGAACAAAGUGAAAGUGUUAGUUGCUCAGUCGUGUCUGACUCUGUGACCCCAUGGACUGUAGCCUGCCAGGCUCCUCUGAAAUUCUCCAAGCAAGAAUACUGGAGUGGGUUGCCAUUCCCUUCUCCAGGGGGAUCUUCCCGACCCAGGGAUUGAACCCAGUUUCCUGCCGCGUAGGCUAGAUUCUUUACCAUCUGCUGCUGCUGCUGCUGCUGCUAAGUCGCUUCAGUCGUGUCCGACUCUGUGAGACCCCAUAGACGGCAGCCUACCAGGCUCCUCUGUCCCUGGGAUUCUCCAGGCAAGAGUACUGGAGUGGGUUGCCAUUUCCUUCUCCAAUCCAUGAAAAUGAAAAGUGAAAGUGAAGUCGCUCAGUCGUGUCCGACUCCUAGCGACCCCAUGGACUGUAGCCCACCAGGCUCCUCCGUCCAUGGGAUUUUCCAGGCAAAAGUACUGGAGUGGGUUGCCAUUGCCUUCUCCUUACCAUCUGAGCUCCCAGGAAAGCACCAUUUUCAGAAAAUGGACUUCUGUGAACAAAAGUUGUAUGGAUUUUGGACAGUUAGCUCAGACAUAUAAAUG